GAUCGCCUACGGGGGGCAGCAGUGGGGAAUAUUGCACAAUGGGGGAAACCCUGAUGCAGCGACGCCGCGUGAGUGAAGAAGUAUUUCGGUAUGUAAAGCUCUAUCAGCAGGGAAGAUAAUGACGGUACCUAUCAAGAAAGCUCCGGCUAACUACGUGCCAGCAGCCGCGGUAAUACGUAGGGAGCAAGCGUUAUCCGGAAUUAUUGGGUGUAAAGGGUGCGUAGACGGGAUGUCAAGUUAGUUGUGAAAUACCUCGGCUCAACUGAGGAACUGCAACUAAAACUAACAUUCUUGAGUGCAGGAGA
rnacentral:rRNA from 1 species